AGAUGGCGACCGGCGCACGGGUGAGUAACACGUAUCCAACCUGCCGAUAACUCGGGGAUAGCCUUUCGAAAGAAAGAUUAAUACCCGAUGGUAUAAUCAGACCGCAUGGUUUGAUUAUUAAAGAAUUUCGGUUAUCGAUGGGGAUGCGUUCCAUUAGGCAGUUGGUGAGGUAACGGCUCACCAAACCUUCGGUGGAUAGGGGUUCUGAGAGGAAGGUCCCCCACAUUGGAACUGAGACACGGUCCAA
rnacentral:rRNA from 1 species